GGUUGAAUAGCUUAGUGGUAAGAGCAGUCGCCCGGCAAGCAGAAAGACUCGGGUUCGAUUCCCGACUCAGCGA
rnacentral:tRNA from 1 species